rnacentral:rRNA from 1 species
UUGAACGCUGGCGGCAUGCCUUACACAUGCAAGUCGAACGGCAGCACGGGUGCUUGCACCUGGUGGCGAGUGGCGAACGGGUGAGUAAUACAUCGGAACAUGUCCUGUAGUGGGGGAUAGCCCGGCGAAAGCCGGAUUAAUACCGCAUACGAUCUACGGAUGAAAGCGGGGGACCUUCGGGCCUCGCGCUAUAGGGUUGGCCGAUAGCUGAUUAGCUAGUUGGUGGGGUAAAGGCCUACCAAGGCGACGAUCAGUAGCUGGUCUGAGAGGACGACCAGCCAAAAUGGGACUGAGACACGGCCCAGACUCCUACGGGAGGCAGCAGUGGGGAAUUUUGGACAAUGGGCGAAAGCCUGAUCCAGCAAUGCCGCGUGUGUGAAGAAGGCCUUCGGGUUGUAAAGCACUUUUGUCCGGAAAGAAAUCCUUGGCUCUAAUACAGUCGGGGGAUGACGGUACCGGAAGAAUAAGCACCGGCUAACUACGUG